UGCCGAAGAAGAAGAAGGGAGAGGCAUGUGUGCGAGAAAUGGAGGUCUACAAACGGUUGAAGGAGGAAGAAGUGACGAUAUUGCAGAAAGAAGUGGUGGAACGGAUGAAACUUCACCAACAAGAAGCCUUUCAAUUGUCCAAGGAAAACCGAAAACAUGAUAAAGGCCACUUACUUUCCCAUAACCAUCAUCCAAUUGAUGAAAACUAAUCUCAUAGUGUGUUCAAGUUUGAGGUUGACAGGAUCAUGUGCAAUUAAUUUUCUUUCAGAAGAAGAAAGUGACCAAGGAGAAUAAGAAGAACUCAAAGUUGCCCUCUUCUUCACUUCUCUUCAGCUACCGACCUUAUCCAUCAAACUCGAAAAAGACGCGAGGAAGGCUUUUUAAGAUGAACGCCCUGGAAUCAACAACUCGACCAUGAAUGCCGUUAUUUCAGUAAAAUGGAAGUGAAGUAGAGAGGCAAAGUUACAACGAAAAGGCUGUGGAGUUGAUGUUGAUGUACAAGAAGGAACUUGAAUAGGACAACAAAGUGUGCUGAUUCACAGAAGUUAUUAUGGCAGAGGAGAAGCACUAGAUUGAAGUUGUUUGGGGAUGAGUAGAAACAGAAAACUUCAAUGGAACUGCUUGAUAAGUAUGAAUUGGCACUGACUACCACCUGUUAAGUUGUGUCCAAGUUGUUGAAGGACCCACUUGUGCCCAAACAUCGCUUGCCAACGUUUCUUAUUUAUGCAAAGGAAAGAAGAACAGCUUUGCAGUCAAAAAGCUAGAACCGUGGAGAGAACGCGAAGAUGGGAGUAGAAGAGUGGAAGAACUUGUCUGAAAAA